UACGUAGGCAGCGAGCGUUGUUCGGAGUUACUGGGCGUAAAGGGGGUGUAGGCGGCUCCCUAAGUUUGGUGUGAAAUCUCCCGGCUCAACUGGGAGGGUGCGCCGAAUACUGAAUGACUUGGAGUGCGGGAGAGGAGAGUGGAAUUCCGGUGUAGCGGUGAAAUGCGUAGAUAUCGGAAGGAACACCUGUGGCGAAAGCGGCUCACUGGACCAUAACUGACGCUGAGGCGCGAAAGCUAGGGGAGCAAACAGG
rnacentral:rRNA from 1 species